GGAGGCUGCUGGUGAUCAGCUCCUCUUAAAUGCAUUAGCUGGAACCUCAAGUGUAUCUCCGGUGUGAUAAUGUCUACGCCGUCUGAUUACUGUCAAAGUUGCUUGCGACGAUGACUGUAGGAUCCGCUUCUAAUCGUCCUUUCUGGACAAUUCAUUUGACAUCUGACCUCAAAUCAGGUAGGACUACCCGCUGAACUUAA
rnacentral:misc_RNA from 1 species